AUACGUAGGGAGCGAGCGUUGUCCGGAAUUACUGGGCGUAAAGGGCGCGUAGGCGGCGCUUCAAGUCGUCUGUCAAAUGGGAGGGCUUAACCCUUUUUCGCAGACGAAACUGGAGAGCUUGAGAAGCAGAGAGGCAAACAGAAUUCCUGGUGUAGCGGUGAAAUGCGUAGAUAUCAGGAAGAAUACCAGUGGCGAAGGCGGUUUGCUGGCUGCAUACUGACGCUGAAGCGCGAAAGCCAGGGGAGCGAACGGGAUUAGAUACCCCGGUAGUCCUGGCAGUAAACGAUGUAUGCUGGGUGUGAGACUAGCGAUAGUUUCGUGCCGAAGUUAACGCGAUAAGCAUACCGCCUGGGGAGUACGGUCGCAAGAUUGAAACUUAAAGGAAUUGACGGGG
rnacentral:rRNA from 1 species